CUCUUCCCCCUUUUUGCUGAUUCACAGGCAGAAAAGCAGAAUAAAUCUUGUUUCUGUCAUUCUUCACCUUCUCAAAUCACGAGGACCAACAGCAGCACGGGAGCUUUCAGGAAGAGAAGAAAGUCACCGAGCACAACGUCAGCACAACGCUCCUUGCUCUGCUGCAAUGAGAAAUCCUGCAUUUCCAAUUUGGGCAGCACAGGAGACAGGAGAUAACCAAUUCCUACCUGCAGGAACUUGGUGCCAAAUUCAGAAAAGCCUUUAAGAUAAACCAAGCAGCACACAGCAAAGCCUUGUUAUCUCAACAGCCUCAUUAAUCAAAUAUAACAUGUCUGCUUUGCACCACAUGGCCAAGACUCAUCUGUCUGGUGAAUAUUUGAUAUCCAGUCACAGGAAAACCCUUGAAGAGUGAGCCAGCACUGGGUUAGAAGCCUUGAAACCAGAAGAAAUGCACUGAUGCAAAAAGCCUCUUCUCAGAAAUCAAGCUACAAAUACCAAAAGUAUCAGAAUUUCCUAUUAAAAAACAUAUCUUGCUUUCACAAACAUGGGAAGUUUCAGACAUUUGACCUCUGUUUCUUCCCAAGUAACCUCACUGACUAAAAAAGAAGAGGCUGGUGUUCCUGCUGCAGGUUCAAUACCUGCAGAGGUGAAGGAAAGGCUCCUGGAGCUGUGAAUGUCCCAGAACACCCUGGCCUGAGCACGGGGACAGUUUGCUCCCAGCUCCGAACCCAGGAACUCCAAAGGGAUGAAUCCACACAGAGAGGAGUGCACAGCAAACUGGGAAGGAAAUUCAGGCUGUGGAAAGGACAUGCUUGUCACUGCCUGAGCCUCUCUCCCUCCUAGGCAGGCUGGUGAGGUGUGCCAGGCAGCAGGAGCUCUCAUCCUCUCCCACGCCAGGCUGGCAGCUGCCAUGGACCUGAACCCCUCUGGGGAUCACCCCACCUUCUCCAGCUCUGCCUGCUUCAAACCUUCAGGAAUCCCAGGGCACCCCAGCCAGCAGCGGUGAUUCACCUGAGAGCCUGAGCUCCCUGCUGCCCCAGCAACCCAUCCCUGUGACAACACCUCCUGGGAAGGCGCUGGCCAGAGGGAGAGAUGCUUCUGGACACCACAGAAUGAGCAAGGAAUUCCAAGGGAAAAGCACUCAGCACGGAUUUCUGCCAAAAGAACUGAAUUCUGUCGCUUUUACAUCUCUGAAGUUCCACCAGUGCUGGGGGGGUAAAAUGGAUUUGAAAAAUCCCCCCCAAAAUGGCACCACAGAGCAGCCCCCAGUGGAGAGGGGCUCUUCAGUGAGCACUUAACAACAGGAAUAUUAAAAGUAACCCCCCAAACUCUAUGUUGAUCAGAAGAAGGAACCAGCACAACCUUCCACUGAGCUGUGGGGACAGAAAAGCCCUCGAGGGACACAACCACAUCAUGAAAAAUCUGCUCUGUUUGGUCUGGCUGGCUUUGCCCGGGGGUCAGGGCAGCACAGCAGUGCAGGCAGCUUGCUGAACACACUCCCCAGUUUAUCUUGAUUAUGUUUGUGGUGUCACAAACAUCAAGGGCUGCAAAAAUAUCA